CACUUUUGGUGGAGGAACCAAACUCAUCGUUGACUUGGGUGUGGUGCGGCCCACCCUGACUGUCCUCCCCCCCUCCACAGAGGAGCUGCAGCAGGGCAGUGCCACACUGGUGUGUCUGGCCAGUGGGGGCUUCCCCUCAGCAUGGAGGCUGGGCUGGAAGGUGGGGGGCAGCAGCUCCUCAGGGGUGUCACACAGCCUGGAGGUCAUGGGGAGGGACGGCCACUACAGCUGGAGCAGCACCCUGAGCCUCCCUGCAGACCAGUGGAGGAAGGCGGGCUCAGUGAGCUGUGAGGCCAGUCUGAAUGACCAGAGCCCUGUCACUCAAACCCUGGACCCUGACCGCUGUUCAGAGUAGAGCUUCAGCAACACUUUCUCUCUGGAAAUGAUGCUGCUUCUUUGAUACAGAUGGGUUGAUGAAGCUACAGAUCUCCUCUGUUCUCAUACGUCUGCAAGUUUCAAAGCUCUCUACUCAGUGUUAGUGUGCAUGUUGCUUUCUAAAAUUUUCUACAUAUUCUUCUUUGUGUCCUUAACUUUUCAAAUUAAACUGAAUGUUAUUUUCAUUCCAAGUGAAACUUUUCACUCAUCAAAAAUGUGGCAUGAAUAUUAAACCAUCAUUAAAUAAAACUGUGUAUUAUAA